AAAGGUCUAUAGGAUAAUCAACAAGUGAGAACUGGCUGUGGCUCUAACAAUGGCCUGCCAGGGUGAGGACAGGGGUGUGGUCCUACCCUGGUUUCGGGUGUGAGUCGGAAUGCUCCGGGGUCCCUCUGAUUCCAUUUAUAACAUUCAUGGGCAGACUUUCCAUAGUUUGCCUUUAGGAGCCUCAAAAUCUUGUCUGCCAUUUGCAGAUGAUGUGGUCCUUUCCGCUUCUUUAGGUCGUGACCUCCAUCUCUCUGUGGAGCAGCGGCUAAGUGUAAACUUGGGAUGAGGACCCAAGACUAAGGCUACACGUCUCCGCUGGAAUGAGGUCAAAUGAGUACCUACAAGGAGAAGAGUUGAAGUCCAAUAGCCUUAAAAAGUCUACAUUGACGUGUGAGACUGAGCGACGGAUGGCAGCAGGGCGGACAUUUAACAGUCAGGGUCUACGAACAGUUGGAGGAAAGAUCUGCAUGGAGAGCUGCAGGGGAAAGAGAGAGCUGCUGGUGGGUAGGAGCGUCACUCAGGCCUGUUUCCUGCGGUGGAACUGAGUUCCUCACCAAGUUUCAGAGUCCCACAGGAAAUAUGGCUGCAGCAGGCUCUUUUCCACAGUAGGAACUGAGCUCGUGAAGGAUCUGCCAGAUCCAGGAGGAAGUUCAGCACAUGUUCUGACGUGACGCCGAGAUUCCCUUCAGCAGAAAGCGUGCCAGCAUGCGGCACUCCUCCUUAAGAUGCUGCGGACAUGUUUGAGACAUCAGCGGCCUCUGAUGGCGUUUCAAAGCUGCAGUUUGCUCAAAGUCUCACCAAUCAGCAUCAAGUUUCAGAGGGUGAAACUUGAGUUCCCCCCAGCACAUUUUCGUCAUGUCAGAGAGGGGGUUUCUGUUUGAAAGCCACGAUGCAGCCUGCAUGUUCCCUCUGCAGCUGAACGUUUGCUGGGACUUCACAGGUUCGUGUAAAAACUGAGAUGGGGGGUGGGUGGGGGGUGGGGUCUGACUGUGACAGAGACUUCCAGUGCAAUCCUCAAAAUGUCUGCUGGAAACACCCAAAUCCUUCAUCAGCAACAGGCCCAACCAGCCCCAGACAAGCGCAGAGCCUCUUCCUGCUCUGCUGCAGCCGCCUGCAGGGGAGGAGGGGUGUGAUGGGAGGAGAGAUGAUGGCAGGGGAUGAUGGGAGGAGGAGGAGGAGGGGUCUGUGUGCAGAGAUGGAGGGCUGGCAGGAAUGUGGGAGAGCAACCCGACAUGCAGCCAGGAGAGGAGCCGCUCGCACUAAAUUUAACAAAGAGAGGCAAUUUAAAUUUAGGCUGCAGGCGUAGUGAGAACGGCCCGGUCCACGAGCAAAGGCAGAACGCACACCUCACAUCCUGACGGUGCUGGGGGAGGAAGAUCAUGCGGCUGGGAUCCUGCCUGUUUGCAUUCACAACAUUCUCUCACACUCUAGGUCCUCUGAAGCUCUCAGACGCUGAAAAUCUGUGCAGAGAAGAUAUUUCUGAGCUGCAAGAAAACAUCAACAUCAUAUCAGUUUGAUUCGUAAAAAGAAGUUUUCUUUUUAUUGCCUGAUAAGAUCAAAACCCCCCUCAGCUCAGUAAACAUGGUAGAGAAUCAUCAUCGUUUGCCAAAAUAGUAUUUUUUGACUGAACUUGUUGAGCUCCGCCCACACUUCAUAUCCUAAUGAUGCGCAUUUUUCUUAGCACACCUGUUCUUGGUCGUUUUCACAAUAAAAGCCUUUGAUACCAAGUUGAUUUUGUGAGAAUUGACAAAAGAAUCAAUCAAAUGUUGCUUCAUAAACAGUUGAUUUUUUCAAUUUUUACAAUGAAUCAAUUUACAGCUCAAAAACAAAACUGGAUUUAAAUAGUGAGAGAAUCCAACAGAAUCUUUCAUCUUUGCAUUUAUCCUUUUGGGGACCUUUAAUGAAACUCUCAAAGGCUUUGAAGGGUUCCAUCAUUUUAAAGCCUCACUUCCUCUUCUGCUUUGAAGAGCAUCAGCCGCCGAUCACAGAGUUACGAUGACUCAGCUUUCUGCUUUAACUAAGUUACUGUUAAAGCUGUAGACGUCUAAAAACAACUUUAGGAAAGCUGUUGUUCACACGCAUCCACAGUUACACUGGAUGCUCAGAAGGUUCUGCUAAAGUUCUGGUUCUGUUUCAGCAUCCUCUCUGACUCCAGAGGAAAUGUGGCUGCAGAAGUUUGCUGAAUUCCUUCAGAAGGUGACCUUCUUUUCUGUGGCCUUUAGGUCCAAAGCUACAAACUCUACUGCUGUUUUUUUUUUCACUUCUGAAGAGUCAAAAAAGUUUGUUUUCACACAGCAGGGUUUAAAUCUAACAGCAUUUAUGUCACUUGGGUCAAAUGGAGCUGAGGUUUGAUUCCUUAACUUUACAAACCACCAAGAAGAAAUAAUUUGACCUCAAGGCGUUUGACUGACAGCUGUCUGUCUCUUUAGUGCAGCAGUGAACGUGAAAAGCACACAGACAGAAGUCUCUUGCAGUUCUUCUGAAAUGAUCUUUGCUUUUUCCAAAACACCACCAGGUCAUUACUGGACUCAGUAAUGUAAACCCAAAACAGAGCAGUUUCACAAUGUGAGUUAUGAGUGCAUCAGGAGGGCCUGCAGCGCCGUGAGCACGGCGAGGCCAUGCUGUGGUGAAGCUCCUGUCCGUCAAGUUGGAAGAUGUUUCUGCCGUCUGGAUCGGCUUUUAAAGUGACCUUUUAAUGGGUCAUAAAACCUCUGCUGAGUGAACAGGAGACAGUCUCAUAUCAGCUGGGCUUUCAUCGAUCAUUGAUAGGAAUCCUACUAUGAAAGGAGACCGAUUCAUGUGUGGAUCAAACCAGGAUCAAAGCCCCAUUCACACAGGCCGCUUUGGUCCACACCGGAUUUGGUUUCCUCCCAUGCUCCUCUUGCUUUGGCUGGGGCUGGGACAUGUUCAAGAACAUGCGUUCAGCUCAUGCUGUUCACACUGUACUAGUAGGGAGGGGCUUCUUCUUCUACUGUUUAUUAGCACUUUCACCCACCUACAGUUGGGAGAGGCUUGGUAAAAAUGUCAAACCACUCUGAGUUUGGUGACUCACCACAUCACUACAAAAUUUAAGUUACUUUGGCAGUGGAAGUUUAAAUGGGCACACGUUUUGUACAUAGAGCCCAGAAACGGUCGUAAAAACUUGCGUAGCCACCUGUGAGCGUGACAGUUCUGAGCGUGGAGCCCUAAAACGCACGUUAACUUUUCAACAGCCGCUUGAACGCAGCUUCUGAGCCGCCCUGAACUCUGGUCGCUCUCAGAACAACAGUCUCAGCUCACUUUCAGCUGAACGUCAUUGCGCUCCACACUUGGGGCAACUUAUUGAAGAAAAGCUUCCCAUCAUUCCUUCACAUAAUUGGGUUUGAGUGAGGAAGUACAGAUGUUUAGUAAAACUAUCUGGAAUGAGAACCCAAAGUUUUUUUCUUUUUCCUUUUUUAAGAACUGAAUUUCAUCCAGGAGGCUUGACUCUUGAAAGAGUGUGAGCAAAGAAAACACUGGGUAAGGACAGCAAAUACCUUUCAACUCUUAUUUUGAAAAUACCUUAACACUUGAUGAAAGAAGACUUUUAAAUAAAGUCUUUUUGAGGCUUUCAGGAAGAGUGAGUUUCUUUAUUUGUGCAAAUGAGAAACACAAAAUUGUUCAACUUUAAAGAUUAAAGUUGUUUUAAUUAAGAAAAAAGUUUGUUUGAAUUUUUCUCAGCCAAACUAAAGUUGUGUUGGUGGUUCUGCUUAAAGCUCCGUGUCUCCCGCUCGGAGGUGACGGACAGUUUUCGGUCUCCGUCUGUAAAGUCUCGUUCGGCCCCGUCCAUGGAAAAGUGAAGCUUCAGGAGUGACCUGACUGCCUCCCGGACACCUCCCUGGAAACAGUAGCACUCCCCAACCCCCAGGCUGACGGUUGGCAUCCUUCACACUCUCCUUGUGUCAUCACGCGAUAGCUCACCGGUCCCUCAAACCUUCCGCCUCCAGCUCUCGCGAGAGGUGCAGCAGCUCAGCCUGUAAAGUGUGGUUCGAUGGUUUCUUAUCUUUAAAGUCAACGCGGAUGAUAAAACGGCUUUGCAGCGUGUGUUUUUGGAAGUUUCAUGGCAGAGGAGAGAAGAAAAGUCCCAUUUAGAGGA